ACUGUUUUCUAUGCUUGUUUUCACUUAAUAUUUGUGGGUGUUGUUGCGCUCAUUGCAGUCAGAAAACAUAUGUUGGCCGAUCAAAACCCUUGCGGGUGAUGUUGCUUUCUCUCCCCAAGUCGUACGAGAAAAUAACGGAAAACUGACCCAAGAUCAGUACUGUAGAUAGGCAACUUCAACACUAUGUAAUGCGGAGCGCGUUCCUAUUUCGUCAACACAAUUGGCUGAAGGGGAGGUUACUUUCUGCGUUGUUCGGUUUAUAUUAGAGUAUCAAAUUAAAUUAAUCUAAGAAACGCUUUUCCUUGCAGUUUGAAUGUAUAUUCGUAUUCUGUGCAUAAUCUGUGUAUGUUGACCUACAACACAAAUGCGCAUCAUGACUUCAACAAAGAAGGCAACUUGGGACCGUACCCGAUCCUCCCAUGCGAUCAUUCUCUUUCCCGCUCCAAAUAAAGACCCUUCACACCUACCACCCUUCUCUUCAGACCACUCAGACCUACACCUACCACCUUUCUAUUCAGACCACUCAGACCUACACCUACGGCUGACACCUUUACUCUCUCUCUCUCUCCAUCCUCUUGAUACAGAUCUCUUGAUCUAUCCUCUGGCUGCAUUUUAAAGUGUCCAGUGCACCAGGGGCAAACGAUUUUCCCUAUUCUCAAGAUUCUUGCCAAUAGAACUUCAAAGACAUUUGUGUUUGUUGCGUAAUAAAGGGUCAGGAGCAGAAAGUGAGGUGGAAGCCAUGCUCUGGAUGUGGCAAUAAAUGGGACGAUGACUAGAUCAAGGCCGAGGACCGCGUUUCUCCAGUUUAACUUCUACUUUAUGCACAAAUGUAUUCCUCACUCUCCCUUCACAUGUAUCCCUGUUAAUCAUAAAUGGUUGGCCAAAUUCGCCAUGAUUUACCAUUGAAACAUUCAUGGAGCAUCACAAUGCCAACCAUUUGAUCUCAAUCAGCUUCAUGAGAAUAUACAUUUAGAUAUUGAUAUAAAGUGAGCUACAAGAGUAUUGCAACAGUGACACAUUUUUGUUGUUGUUUUGGAUCUGUACUCCAGCACUUUGGAUUUGAAAAUAUACAAUGACUAUGAGGUUAAAGUGCAGUCUCAGCUUUAAUUUGAGGGUAUUUUCAUCCAUAU